GUACCAGGGUCUGUCCCAAAACCUAGGGAGCUCUCUACAUAGACAGCAUCUUACGUCAUUGGAUGCGCGUUCCCGAGAAGUAGGCUGUCCCAAUUCUUAGAUACCUUAAAAUGCUGUCUACUAAGAUACCUUAUUCUGACCCUGUAAUAAGAGAGCAUUAGACCCUUCCUCAGCCGGUAAGGCAAUCCCAUGAUGCAGCGCGGGGCAGCACAGCGUAGCUCAACUUCUUCCAUCAUGGCGGACGGAAGUGGAUCGGCCAGCGCCGAAGUCAUUUUUAAAUGACUGUUGUUCUGGAAUUGGGGCUUGCGGACAAAGUAAAAGAAAUGGGAAAACUUAAAAAAUAAAUACAAUGCUGAACAUCUCCUGCUCCCAUGCAGAUGUUGUGCAGAGUGACACAGGCAGCAAUCACCUCUGGCACAAACCUUGGGUUCACUUCUUGAGCAUGCAGGAAAAUUGACCUCCAUCUGGUCUUCAGCAUCCCAAAACCACGUUCAAUUGUAGAACGUGCCCUUGCAUGAUGCCUAUUGAAGGCCACCCUCUCUUCUCCUCUGACGGGCUUCUUGAAUGGAGUGAUGAGGGCUAUGGGCUGAGAGAUGCAUGGGGACCCACCAUCACCAAGGAUCAUGUAGCCUCUGGGUGGGAAAGUGGCCUGCCGAUACAGAGUGCUGUAACAGAGCACCCUUGCAUCAUGUACUGAGCCAGGAAAGCAAAUAAAAACAUCACUAUAGAACGGGGCAUAGAAAAAGCACGGGACACAACACGGUAUGAUGUGCCACAGGCCAACCAAAAAAGAAAAACCAAGACUUCAAUGGUCCCACCCCAACCAUGGGUGCUCUUGUGCUGAAUAAGUUUAAAAAGCACUUUCAGGGAUUCACGAUUCAGGCGAAAGUCAGUCUUGGGUGUCGUCCGGGAAUAUUCUCAGAAGUGGUACACUUGAAUUCAGAGCACAGUAUCUUGUAGGUCUUUCUCCCUGCAAGAAAUGAAAAAUUACUUUUAUAUAUGCUAUUUAUUUAUUUAUUUAGUGUGUGUGAACAGUUCUUUUGCAAAACAGAAAAGUGAUUUGUUCCUUUGUGUUUAAAGAAUAUCAUUUAUCUGUUUUGUAAAUUAACUGUUUGCACAGGUUCUAUUUAUGUAUUUAUUUAUUGAUUGAUUGAUUUAAUUGUUAAUAAAUGAAUUGUCUGCAUGUGUAUAGUUGUAUCACUUUGAAGUUAGCAUAAAAUAAAAUGCAUAUUUGCAAAAACAGAUGAGUGCUAUUCUUUAAACAAACCUUUCAUGCUUAAAAGACAGCAUUUGUCUGUCUGCAUAUAAACUUUUUUCCCCCCACAAUUUUCAAUUAAUUGUAUCAGCUUGAUUAUUAGCAACUAUUUAAUCAAUAUAAAUGUAUUAAAUAAACUAUGUAGGUGUUCUGUACAUGUUGUUAUAAUAAUUAUUCAUUGUUAUUAUUAUUAUUAUUAAUAGCUUACUUAAUUAAUU